rnacentral:rRNA from 1 species
UAGGGAAUCUUCCGCAAUGGGCGAAAGCCUGACGGAGCAACGCCGCGUGAGUGAAGAAGGUCUUCGGAUCGUAAAACUCUGUUAUUAGGGAAGAACAAAUGUGUAAGUAACUAUGCACGUCUUGACGGUACCUAAUCAGAAAGCCACGGCUAACUACGUUCCAGCAGCCGCGGUAAUACGUAGGUGGCAAGCGUUAUCCGGAAUUAUUGGGCGUAAAGCGCGCGUAGGCGGUUUUUUAAGUCUGAUGUGAAAGCCCACGGCUCAACCGUGGAGGGUCAUUGGAAACUGGAAAACUUGAGUGCAGAAGAGGAAAGUGGAAUUCCAUGUGUAGCGGUGAAAUGCGCAGAGAUAUGGAGGAACACCAGUGGCGAAGGCGACUUUCUGGUCUGUAACUGACGCUGAUGUGCGAAAGCGUGGGGAUCAAACA